GCAAUCUAUUCCAAGGAAGAGGCCACAGAGGCUCCACACCAGGCAGCCACAGCUGGGUCUUGGGCCGAGACUUGACCAUUGAUGCUCAGAACAUGAACCAGCAGCAGAAGUAUGCCUGGAGUUGAACUGAAUUUAAUGAGAAUAUCCUUGUACAAGAUAGAAGAGGAGAAUUGAGGAGGAAAGACAAUGGUACAGACUGGACUGGAGAGAAGCAUCCACCAGCCAAGGGAUAGUGAGCAUCACAACAGCUACCAGACUCUGAAAGUAAGCUCUCAAUCAAAACUCCCUGCCCACUCGUCUCCCAAAGGAACCAGCCCCGCUAAGAUUCCACCAACCUUGAACUCAGAAAUCUGGACUCUAAGAUUUGUUGGAAAAUAAAUUUUCUGCUGUUUUAAA